UUUUUUUCUGCGACGAUAAGCCCUCGCAAAUAGAUAAGCGCGAAAGUUUUUGGGAACCGCUCUUUUUUCCUUGAACAUUCAGCGACCAUUUGUUGUCACUGAAAAACAAAAUAAAAAUAAAAUUUUUAAAUUUAUUUUUUUGCGAUGAAAAUUUAUCUGUGUCGGAUAAGCGGGAAAUAUUUUUCAUUGACCGCGUUUUUUUUUUCAAGAUUUUAGUAAAUCAAUUUUUUUCCUCAGCAACAUAAAUUAUCGACAAACCCUAGAUUACUUUUUUCAUCCCCUCGUUCUUCAGCCGUCUACUUCACUCCUCACGAUCGUAAGGUUGUCCCUUUCUUUCUCGCCGAUCUCCUCCCUGCUUUCAUUCUAUUGCUUGUCGGUGUCUCUCUGUUUCUCGUCGGCGACACUCACAGUCGCUACCCCCUUUUUUUCUAAAUAGGGGGCAUAUUUAUGGACGUCUCUCACAUUCGGUGCCCCACCAGCCACCACCUCCGAUGUCUUCAAUUAAAUGGAUUACUUAGCAAAUAUUGUUUCCUGGCUAGCAAAGUUGAUUUUGAUAUAUGUUUCAUUGAAUAUUUGGUCUAUAUUUAUGAAAUUGAACCCAUAUUAUUUCAAUUUUUGGAGGGACAUGCUAUUUGGGCAUCAUUUGAGAGGGUUGGAGAACAAUUUGCAUCUGAGUUGUGUAUAAUAAUGCUUGCUGUGAUAGACUAAAAAAGGUAGAAAAUUGUAUAUGUUAUUCCCUUUUGAAAGUUGUUAUACUCUUUAAGAUUAUAAACAAGUCAUAAUUUAAUUAAUAUCAUGUUGAUUAUAUUUAUUAUGUGAAAGUUGUAUAUAAACCACAUCUUAAGUGUGUUUCUUAUCUUAUGUAGGACAGGGCUUCAAUCUCAAUUCAUGUACUUAUGCCUUAUUUAGAACCUAGAUCUUUAAGUUGGUAGUUUGUUAUAUUAACCAUUAACUUUGUGAAAUAUCACCAUUACAGGCAAUCAAUCAGGCAUGCGUUUUACCAUCUUCAAGUGUCUAUGAAGAGGUUAUACGGGCCACAAAAUGAAGCUUUAGAUAGACGACCCGAUACACAAAACAGGGAAAAAAAUAUCAUGCUAGUGUCUCAAUUCGAAUGAAAACAUCAAAAAAGAACAACAAUAUGUCGAUGAUGUUAUGGGGUUUAUGAUAAUGAAGACAUGAAUAAAGUAUAGUUAGUUUGUCUAUUAAACUUCAUGAUGUUCUUAUUGUAUUAUCGGAUUUAUUGUUAAAUUGGAUGAAGAUGUUGAUUUAGUGUGUUAUGUAGUUUGGAACUAUGGAUUCUCUCUUAAUUUGAUGUUUAUCAAUAUUAAUGAAUUUUUUAUAAAUUAAUAGAAUUUCAUUA